GAUGAAGAACGUAGCGAAAUGCGAUAAGUAAUGUGAAUUGCAGAAUUCAGUGAAUCAUCGAAUCUUUGAACGCGCAUUGCGCCCCCUGGUAUUCCGGGGGGCAUGCCUGUUCGAGCGUCAUUACAACCCUCAAGCUCUGCUUGGUAUUGGGCCCCGCCAGUUCUGGCGGGCCCUAAAGUCAGUGGCGGUGCCUUCCGGCUCCGAGCGUAGUAAUUCUUCUCGCUCUGGAGACCCGGUUGUGUGCUUGCCAACAACCCCCAAUUUUUUAAGGUUGACCUCGGAUCAGGUAGGGAUACCCGCUGAACUUAAGCAUAUCAAUAAGCGGAGGA
rnacentral:misc_RNA from 1 species